AGAGAUCUGGUAAGACCUUUUUAGUCGGGGUAAUUAAAUGGGCCAGCACAUCAAAGGGCUGAGCCAGGAGACCGAUGAGAGAUAUAAAUGCUUGUUUUGACUAUAGUCAUCUUCUCCAUUUGAAAGUUUGCCUCUAUGAUAUCUCACAAACUUCAACACCUGCUAUAGUGCUGUUUGCACUCCCUAACAUUUGAAGGAGUUGCAAAGUAGCCUUUGCAGAUGUUCCUUCUGGACUGGGAAUGAAAUAAAUUGGAGGCAAGAGGGAAGAGCAGAGAGGUCAGAGAAUGCUACAGCCUCUCAGUCUCCUUGUAUCAUCAUCAUCAUCAUCAUCCUCUCACAUGAAGAGAUCCAUUCUACAAAUCUGAGUUAGAACUCCAGCAGCUACUGGCAGGUGGCUCCCGUAUCACAACACCUCCUUCUCCCUGAAUUCUUCCUGUUUCUCUCCUUUAAUUUUUCUCUGUUCCCUUGCUCUGUUAAUUUCUUCCUUUAUCCUGACAUCUCUUUCCCCCUCUCCCUUCUCCUCAUCUCUCCUUUUCUCUUUUCUCUAUAUUUCUUUUUUGCUUUUUUUCUCAGGCCUUCUCUUCUGACCCUUUCUUCUCAUCUCUUGUUCUUCAGAUGGCUGUCCUUCAACGCUGGUUCUCUUUUCUGGUCCUUUCCUGCUGUGUGGCUUUAUUGCUGCCACCGAAUGUACAGGCCAUAAAGAAGCCAGUUUAUCCUGGAAAGGAUGCUACCCCAGAGCAGUUGGAACAGUUUCUGAAAGACCUGCAAUUAUAUUUGAACCAAUUAACCCGUCAAAGGUAUGGGAAGAGAGCAGAGGACGAGAGAUUCUAUGAAGAUGGGGUAGAUUUCUUGGAGUAGGUGGUUCUGCUGCAGCAAUCCAGGACAUCCCAUCAGCUAAGUUUUCACUGCUUCUGCUUCAUUAUCCUUUCCCUGUUUCCAGAGGCCUGCAGAGAGUCCUGGCUCUAACUCUGUAACUCUUGCAAAAAGUGAAUUAAAAAAUAUUAAAAAUAA